UAACGGAGUGAAACAGAUCCUGAAACCAUACGCCUACAAGCGGUCGGAGCCCAUUCGUUGGGUGACGGCGUGCCUUUUGCAUAAUGAGCCUACGAGUUAACGUUGCCGGCAAGGAUAAGUGGUUCAGCCACGGAUCCGUAGCGAAAGCGAGUCUGAAUAGGGCGCUUUAGUCGGUAGUGUUAGACGCGAAACCGUGUGAUCUACCCAUGGGCAGGAUGAAGCUGUGGUAACACAUAGUGGAGGUCCGAACCGGUUGACGUUGAAAAGUCUUCGGAUGACCUGUGGGUAGGGGUGAAAGGCCAAUCAAACUCGGAAAUAGCUCGUACUCCCCGAAAUGCAUUUAGGUGCAGCGCAGGUCGUAAAGUUAUAUAGAGGUAGAGCUACUGAUUGGAUGCGGGGGCUUCACCGCCUACCAAUUCCUGACAAACUCCGAAUGCUAUAUAAUGUUUACCUGCAGUGAGGGCUUGGGUGCUAAGGUCCAAGUCCGAGAGGGAAAGAACCCAGACCAUCAGCUAAGGUCCCCAAAUGUAUGUUAAGUUGAAAGAACGAGGUUUGUCUGCCCAGACAGCUAGGAUGUUGGCUUGGAAGCAGCCAUUCAUUUAAAGAGUGCGUAACAGCUCACUAGUCGAGCGGACGAGCAUGGAUAAUAAUCGGGCAUAAACAUACUACCGAAGCUAUGGAUUUAUGAUUUAUUUCAUAAGUGGUAGGGGAGCAUUCCAACAGGGUAGAAGGUGGGUCGUAAGGCUUGCUGGACCGGUUGGAAAAGAAAAUGUAGGCAUAAGUAACGAUAAUGCGGGCGAGAAACCCGCACACCGAAAGACUAAGGUUUCCGCAGCUAUGCUAAUCAGCUGCGGGUUAGUCGGGACCUAAGGCGAACCCGAAAGGGACAGUCGAUGGCCAACGGGUUAAUAUUCCCGUACUACUGAUGACUGUGAUGGGGUGACGGAGUGAUGAAAGUACCGCGAACUGACGGAAUAGUUCGUUGAAGCACCUACCUAUAGGCCUUGUAGUCAAAUGCGCAAGGACUGGGGAAAUGCGAUAGUACCCGGAGUCUUCGGACAAAGGGAUAGUGUACCUAAGGGCUUCCAAGAAAAACCUCUAAACUUCAGGUUAUUAGUACCCGUACCGUAAACCGACACAGGUAGUCGAGGAGAGAAUCCUAAGGUGCUCGAGAGAUUCAUGGCUAAGGAAUUAGGCAAAAUAGACCUGUAACUUCGGGAGAAAGGUCGCCAGCAGCAAUGCUGGCCGCAGUGAAGAGGUCCAGGCGACUGUUUAUCAAAAACACAGGGCUCUGCAAAAUCGUAAGAUGAAGUAUAGGGCCUGACACCUGCCCGGUGCUGGAAGGUUAAGAGGAGAUGUUAUCUUCGGAGAAGCAUUGAAUUGAAGCCCCAGUAAACGGCGGCCGUAACAAUAACGGUCCUAAGGUAGCGAAAUUCCUUGUCGGGUAAGUUCCGACCUGCACGAAUGGUGUAACGAUCUGGACACUGUCUCAGCCAUGAGCUCGGUGAAAUUGUAGUAGCGGUGAAGAUGCCGCUUACCCGCAGUGGGACGAAAAGACCCUGUGCACCUUUACUAUAGCUUAGUAUUGACUUUGGAUAAGUGAUGUCUA
rnacentral:rRNA from 1 species